rnacentral:rRNA from 1 species
UGGGGAAUAUUGCACAAUGGAGGGAACUCUGAUGCAGCGACGCCGCGUGAGUGAUGAAGGAAUUCGUUUCGUAAAACUCUGUUCUAUGGGAAGAAAAGGACUGUACCAUAGGAGAAAGCUCCGGCUAAAUAUGUGCCAUCAGCCGCGGUAAUACGUAUGGAGCGAGCGUUGUCCGGAAUUAUUGGGCGUAAAGGGUGCGCAGGCGGCUUUACAAGUUGGAUGUGAAAUAUUGUGGCUCAACCACAAACGUGCAUCCAAAACUGCAAAGCUUGAGUUAAGGAGAGGUAAGUGGAAUUCCUGGUGUAGCGGUGGAAUGCGUAGAUAUCAGGAGGAAUACCGGUGGCGAAGGCGACUUACUGGACUUAAACUGACGCUCAGGCACGAAAGCGUGGGGAGCAAACAGG